UACAGAGGUCUCAAGCGUUGUUCGGAUUCAUUGGGCGUAAAGGGUGCGUAGGUGGCGCGCUAAGUCAGGUGUGAAAUUUCGGAGCUUAACUCCGAAACUGCAUUUGAUACUGGCGUGCUUGAGGACUGGAGAGGAGACUGGAAUUCACGGUGUAGCAGUGAAAUGCGUAGAUAUCGUGAGGAAGACCAGUGGCGAAGGCGGGUCUCUGGACAGUUCCUGACACUGAGGCACGAAGGCCAGGGGAGCGAACGGG
rnacentral:rRNA from 1 species